GCCUACGGGGCGCAGCAGUGGGGAAUAUUGCACAAUGGGGGAAACCCUGAUGCAGCGACGCCGCGUGAGUGAAGAAGUAUUUCGGUACGUAAAGCUCUAUCAGCAGGGAAGAAAAAAGUCCUUUGGACUUUGGACGGUACCUGACCAAGAAGCCCCGGCUAACUACGUGCCAGCAGCCGCGGUAAUACGUAGGGGGCAAGCGUUAUCCGGAUUUACUGGGCGUAAAGGGAGAGUAGACGGCAGCGCAAGUCUGGAGUGAAAUGUCGGGGGCCAACCUCGGACCUGCUUGGGAAAAUG
rnacentral:rRNA from 1 species